UACAGAGGUCUCAAGCGUUGUUCGGAUUCAUUGGGCGUAAAGGGUGUGUAGGUGGCGCUGUAAGUCGGGUGUGAAAUUUCGGAGCUUAACUCCGAAACUGCAUUCGAUACUGCGGUGCUUGAGGACUGGAGAGGAGACUGGAAUUUACGGUGUAGCGGUGAAAUGCGUAGAUAUCGUAAGGAAGACCAGUGGCGAAGGCGGGUCUCUGGACAGUUCCUGACGCUGAGGCACGAAGGCCAGGGGAGCAAACGGG
rnacentral:rRNA from 1 species